GUGGCUCAAAGGUUAAAGCGUCUGCCUCCAAUGCAGGAGACGUGGGUUCGAUCCAUC
rnacentral:tRNA from 1 species